CAGCAGCCGCGGUAAUACGUAGGUCCCGAGCGUUGUCCGGAUUUAUUGGGCGUAAAGCGAGCGCAGGCGGUUAGAUAAGUCUGAAGUUAAAGGCUGUGGCUUAACCAUAGUACGCUUUGGAAACUGUUUAACUUGAGUGCAAGAGGGGAGAGUGGAAUUCCAUGUGUAGCGGUGAAAUGCGUAGAUAUAUGGAGGAACACCGGUGGCGAAAGCGGCUCUCUGGCUUGUAACUGACGCUGAGGCUCGAAAGCGUGGGGAGCAAACAGGAUUAGAGACCCCCGUAGUCCCUGUCUCUUAUACA
rnacentral:rRNA from 1 species